rnacentral:rRNA from 1 species
UACAGAGGGUGCGAGCGUUAUUCGGAAUUACUGGGCGUAAAGCGUGCGUAGACGGUUCUUUAAGUCGGGUGUGAAAGCCCCGGGCUCAACCUGGGAAUUGCAUUCGAGACUGAAUAGCUAGGGUACGGUAGAGGGAAGCGGAAUUUCCGGUGUAGCGGUGAAAUGCGUAGAUAUCGGAGGGAACAUCAGUGGCGAAAGCGGCUUCCUGGACCAGUACCGACGUUCAGGCACGAAAGCGUGGGGAGCAAACAGG